rnacentral:rRNA from 1 species
UACGUAGGGUGCGAGCGUUGUCCGGAAUUACUGGGCGUAAAGGGCUCGUAGGUGGUUUGUCGCGUUGUUCGUGAAAACCGGGGGCUUAACCCUCGGCGUGCGGGCGAUACGGGCAGACUGGAGUACUGCAGGGGAGACUGGAAUUCCUGGUGUAGCGGUGGAAUGCGCAGAUAUCAGGAGGAACACCGGUGGCGAAGGCGGGUCUCUGGGCAGUAACUGACGCUGAGGAGCGAAAGCGUGGGGAGCGAACAGG